AGAUGUGAGACCGAUCUGGCUGCGACAUCUGUCACCCCACAGAUCGCCAGGGUUGACUCAGCUGAUCUGGCUGGCUAGGCGGGUGUCCCUACCUGCCUCUCUCACCACUCUAUGUGAGGCCCUUCCAAAGCUCCCAACCAGGUCAAAGAGGGCAACCACCCCCAUAGAGGGACCGUUUCCUGGGUCACGGGUAUGCAGGUAGCUGCGUCCUCCUGCUAGAACCUCCAAACGAGCUCUCAAAAUAAAAAAAUACAAAUAGAACAAUGUCCAUCAGGCAAAAGUAUAAACAAUGUUGUGCUAU
rfam:Heterocephalus glaber contig120837, whole genome shotgun sequence.